GGGACACGUGGUAUCCUGUCUGAAUAUGGGGGGACCAUCCUCCAAGGCUAAAUACUCCUGACUGACCGAUAGUGAACCAGUACCGUGAGGGAAAGGCGAAAAGAACCCCGGCGAGGGGAGUGAAAAAGAACCUGAAACCGUGUACGUACAAGCAGUGGGAGCACGCUUAGGCGUGUGACUGCGUACCUUUUGUAUAAUGGGUCAGCGACUUAUAUUCUGUAGCAAGGUUAACCGAAUAGGGGAGCCGAAGGGAAACCGAGUCUUAACUGGGCGUUAAGUUGCAGGGUAUAGACCCGAAACCCGGUGAUCUAGCCAUGGGCAGGUUGAAGGUUGGGUAACACUAACUGGAGGACCGAACCGACUAAUGUUGAAAAAUUAGCGGAUGACUUGUGGCUGGGGGUGAAAGGCCAAUCAAACCGGGAGAUAGCUGGUUCUCCCCGAAAGCUAUUUAGGUAGCGCCUCGUGAAUUCAUCUCCGGGGGUAGAGCACUGUUUCGGCAAGGGGGUCAUCCCGACUUACCAACCCGAUGCAAACUGCGAAUACCGGAGAAUGUUAUCACGGGAGACACACGGCGGGUGCUAACGUCCGUCGUGAAGAGGGAAACAACCCAGACCGCCAGCUAAGGUCCCAAAGUCAUGGUUAAGUGGGAAACGAUGUGGGAAGGCCCAGACAGCCAGGAUGUUGGCUUAGAAGCAGCCAUCAUUUAAAGAAAGCGUAAUAGCUCACUGGUCGAGUCGGCCUGCGCGGAAGAUGUAACGGGGCUAAACCAUGCACCGAAGCUGCGGCAGCGACGCUUAUGCGUUGUUGGGUAGGGGAGCGUUCUGUAAGCCUGUGAAGGUGUACUGUGAGGUAUGCUGGAGGUAUCAGAAGUGCGAAUGCUGACAUAAGUAACGAUAAAGCGGGUGAAAAGCCCGCUCGCCGGAAGACCAAGGGUUCCUGUCCAACGUUAAUCGGGGCAGGGUGAGUCGACCCCUAAGGCGAGGCCGAAAGGCGUAGUCGAUGGGAAACAGGUUAAUAUUCCUGUACUUGGUGUUACUGCGAAGGGGGGACGGAGAAGGCUAUGUUGGCCGGGCGACGGUUGUCCCGGUUUAAGCGUGUAGGCUGGUUUUCCAGGCAAAUCCGGAAAAUCAAGGCUGAGGCGUGAUGACGAGGCACUACGGUGCUGAAGCAACAAAUGCCCUGCUUCCAGGAAAAGCCUCUAAGCAUCAGGUAACAUCAAAUCGUACCCCAAACCGACACAGGUGGUCAGGUAGAGAAUACCAAGGCGCUUGAGAGAACUCGGGUGAAGGAACUAGGCAAAAUGGUGCCGUAACUUCGGGAGAAGGCACGCUGAUAUGUAGGUGAAG
rnacentral:rRNA from 1 species